GUAGCUGUUCCUCAAUUUUGUAUAUGUGGAGUCAGUGUCCAGUACCUUCUAAUCAAUGUCUGGCUGAAAGAUUUUUAUCCUGAAAUGAAUUUUUGCUUUAAAAAAUAUAAAUUACUUGGGCAUUGUUCUUAGUGUAAAGCUGUGGCUGCUACCAAUUAACUCUCUUAUUAACAUAUUUCUUUUCAGGUGCCACUAACUAAUAAACUCCUGUUAUUUAUUUAUUUUCCCUCUUUUUCUCUCUAAAUUUUGUUAACUGCUUACUUGAUAAACAGGUUUCUCUUUUCUUCAUCUUUUCUUUUUACGCUAAAAUUUGCCUUGUUCUUUUUCCUUCAGAGAUAUAGAAUGCUCAACCAGU
rnacentral:misc_RNA from 1 species